AAUAGAUACCCCGGUAGUCCACGCCGUAAAACGAUGAGUGCUAAGUGUUAGAGGGUUUCCGCCCUUUAGUGCUGCAGCUAACGCAUUAAGCACUCCGCCUGGGGAGUACGGCCGCAAGGCUGAAACUCAAAGGAAUUGACGGGGGCCCGCACAAGCGGUGGAGCAUGUGGUUUAAUUCGAAGCAACGCGAAGAACCUUACCAGGUCUUGACAUCCUCUGCCAACCCUAGAGAUAGGGCGUUCCCCUUCGGGGGACAGAGUGACAGGUGGUGCAUGGUUGUCGUCAGCUCGUGUCGUGAGAUGUUGGGUUAAGUCCCGCAACGAGCGCAACCCUUGAUCUUAGUUGCCAGCAUUCAGUUGGGCACUCUAAGGUGACUGCCGGUGACAAACCGGAGGAAGGUGGGGAUGACGUCAAAUCAUCAUGCCCCUUAUGACCUGGGCUACACACGGUACUACAAUGGAUGGUACAAAGAGCUGCGAACCCGCGAGGGUAAGCCAAUCUCAUAAAGCCAUUCUCAGUUCGGA
rnacentral:rRNA from 1 species